rnacentral:rRNA from 1 species
GACAGAGGGUGCAAACGUUGUUCGGAAUUACUGGGCGUAAAGCGCGUGUAGGCUGCUUGGAAAGUCGGAUGUGAAAGCCCUGGGCUUAACCCAGGAAGUGCACUCGAAACUUCCAAGCUCGAGUCCUGGAGAGGGUGGCGGAAUUCUCGGUGUAGAGGUGAAAUUCGUAGAUAUCGGGAGGAACACCAGUGGCGAAGGCGGCGACCUGGACGGACACUGACGCUGAGACGCGAAAGCGUGGGGAGCAAACAGG